rnacentral:rRNA from 1 species
AGAGUUUGAUCAUGGCUCAGGACGAACGCUGGCGGCGUGGAUUAGGCAUGCAAGUCGAACGACGGACACCUUCGGGUGUUACGGAGUGGCGAACGGGUGAGUAACACGUGAACAACUUGCCCCUAUGUUCCGGAUAAUUGGCCGAAAGGCCUUGUAAUACGGGGGAGGAUCGGUCUUUGGCAUCUUAGACCGAGGGAAGUCGCAAGACGCAUAGGGAGAGGUUCGCGGAUUAUCAGGUAGUUGGUGGGGUAACGGCCUACCAAGCCUACGACGAUUAGCUGGUCUGAGAGGAUGGUCAGCCACAUUGGAACUGAGACACUGUCCAGACUCCUACGGGAGGCUGCAGUCGAGAAUCUUGGUCAAUGCACGAAAGUGUGAACCAGCGACGCCGCGUGAAGGAUGAAGGCCCUCUGGGUCGUAAACUUCUUUUACGGGAGAAGAACACAAUGACGGUAUCCCGUGAAUAAGCCACGGCUAACUACGUGCCAGCAGCCGCGGUAAUACGUAGGUGGCAAGCGUUGUCCGGAUUUACUGGGCGUAAAGCGAACGCAGGCGGACCUUUAAGUAGGAAGUGAAAGGUUGGAGCUCAACUCUAACACUGCUCCCUAUACUGGAGGUCUUGAGUGCCGGAGAGGAAGACGGAACAAGUUGUGUAGCGGUGAAAUGCGUUGAUAUAACUUGGAACACCAAUGGCGAAAGCAGUCUUCUGGACGGAUACUGACGCUCAGGUUCGAAAGCCAAGGUAGCAAACAGGAUUAGAUACCCUAGUAGUCC